UCAGCCCGACUGAGCAGUGAUGACCGCAUAGGAUGAGUCAGGUGGAUGAAGAGAAGUGAGCAGAAAAUGUUGAACAGCUCUCUCUUCUGGGAGAACCAACAACACCUGAAACUGUCCCCAGCUUUGAGCCAUCCCUGACCUGAACUACCCCAGAGGCUUCAAUCCCUGCUUCAGCUUUGCACUGUUGGAGUCAGCCCACAUGCCUGAGGGGGGGGGGAGUGCUAGAACACAUGUUGGAGCAUAUGCUGGCCUUUUCCCAGCACCAGAAAACCAAAUAGACUGAUGACUGGUGGAUUCGGGCUGUUGACUGAUGACAGUGGAAAUUAAUUCAGUGGUUUUCUUGCUAUUGUUUGCCAUAAGAAUAUUUCAACAUGACUUUCAUUACUCUGGUUUAGGUGUUUUACUUGGCAGAUUUCAUGUCCCAAUAAAUCAGAGAGUGGUCAAUGAGAUGUUUUUAGAGCAUAGCAGCAUGUCACAGAAGCUGUCAUUUAAGAUCAGAGGUGCCAUGAUAAUAAUUCAUUUGAUAACAUGGUUAUGGAUAUGGUUAUGUUAAGUUUUCUAAGUCAAUGUCAUCAGUAUUGGCCAGUUGAAUGUUAGACUUCGAAUUAGUCUAAUGUGAAGUUUCCACAUUAAUUCUGUUAAAGUUACUCAAAAAAGCCUGUUGUCUUGCCAUAUUUUAAAAUGGAAAGAAGAAAGAAAGAAGAAAACUAUUUAUCUUGUUUUGCACUGUAUACAGAGUUAGUUUAGCUGCGAAUUAUAAUACAUAAUUUCAUUUGUACUAUUAUUGUUCUCUUUUAUUGCAAGAAAUGUAUACUGUUUUGUGGUUCAUAUUAGGCUUUAAACCUGCUGCAAUAAACAUGUAUUGAAGACUGAAA